rnacentral:lncRNA from 1 species
ACUGCAAGAUACCCUUUUGGUACAUUUGCGAUUUUUGAUGGUGUUUGGCUACUGUUAAAUGAAGCCCGUCUAAUAGCAGCAGGUAAACGAAAGCCCAUUUUAAAUGUGUCAAAGAACAAAGUAAAGCUCUCAAAUUCAAGAAAACUGUAUGUAUCUUUUGAUCUUGCGAAUGACUUGUGGUUUCUAUGAAGGAAAAUAGCGUAUUUAUAGUCUUCAAGAGUUUAUUGAAAUCCAAUUUUUUUGAGAAAUAAUUGUUAAAGAAUGGGGUCCAUGAGAUGAGAGAUCAUAUGGUAUUUUCCUGGAUGUCUCUUUAUAUUAAGGAUCAACAACUUCAAUAAGAGUGUUAAUAUAAUAUGCCCCACCUUCUAAAUGAAAGGCUAAUAGAUUACCCUCUUGGAAGUCAAAUGUGAUGGCUCGGUUAAACUUAAUGCUUGGUUUAUGCAUACUCAUAUUUUUGUAGACAUCCAUUAGACAUGUCACAUGUUUUCUCCGUAUUGUUAACGCGGCUCAAUGCUGACAUAUAGCUAGAUACCACAAUUCUAUUGUAGUAAUUAUAAGGUAGAUAAUGGGUUGUUGGCUACAAAUCAUAAAUGUUAGGAAGCAACAGAGAACCUUGAUCUCAGGCUUGGUCGUUACUCAUGGUUACCAGAAGAUUUUUUUUUUUGACUCAUGGUUACCGAAAGAUAGCAAGUGGAUUACAAUCCAGAAGAAAGUAAUUUAAGUUUUGACCCAAACUAGUAGUACAAAAAUACACUAUUCUGAAAAUUGAAUUUCAACAGUCCUAUAUGUAUAUAAUUGCAGUUUUUUGAAGAAAGUCCAGCAACAACUGCUUUGCCAAGAUUUUAAGGUGGAUUAUACCUCAACUUAAAAUUGUGUCGAUUGAUGACCUUUUUUUACUGCAUAAAAGAAUGAUUAGCUUGUUGAACCUUGAUUGAUGAAAAUCUGUUAACAAUUGAGGGGAACAAUGAAGUUGUUGUAUUUUAAUGUUGCGUAACUUUUUUGGUUUCCUCUAGAUAAGUUGGUAAGAGAUAAGAUAUAGAGUCAUGAAUAAAAGGCCAACAGGAAACAGCAGGCUAAGCAAGAGAUCAUGGCCUAGUUUAGAAUUUAGAUUAGUUUCUAGCUUUUAGGAACUUUCCAAUCUUCAAUUGAGAUGACUAUUUGGUUCUUAUCAAACAAAAAACAAACUUUUAAAUGGUAUUAAAUGCUUUUUAUAUUCUUAAUAUAUAUAUAUAUAUAUAAAUAUUUUCUUUCAAUAAAAAAUCAAAAUGAAAUGAAUAUUGGGUUUUCUCAUAGGUGAAUGCUUCAUCUUACAAAACCAGUCCUCCUCUGCAUGGCUAUCAAUACUUGAGUUUAUAAUAUCUAUAUUGACUUGAAAUUCAUGUUUUACUGCUGUUCUAUUUGUAGAUUAUGGCUGGACACAGAAUUGGCAAUGGAAGACUAUUCAUAAUUGUGUCAAGAAUUUGAAAAACAUGAACUCUAUAUUAUUUGAUGGGUUUAGCUUCUGUUUUAGGUGCUAAUAAGUUUAAUUGUGUUUAUAGUGCUAAUACAUGCUCUGUGCAGACACUGUUUAGUCAUGGAAUUCAACUCCUUAAACAUGUGAACUGCAAAUUUUUGUUGUCUAGUCACUCUCUUUACCAAAUGCAGGGAGAUUAUGACAAUCUUUUGAUUAGGAAAAUACAUAAUAUACAUUUUUAUGAAUAGUGGAGGAAGCUGCUAGGAACUCAGUAAAGGGUUGCCGCUAAAUGCGUGCUUUCUGACAACAACUUCAAACGACAAGUCCAUGUGAAGAGCACAGGAAGUCCUUGUGAUUGUGGUCUCCACCACCUUCUUCAAAUACCACAAGAAAAAUAAAUGUACAAAUUAAUUGGUGACUAAGGUGUUGAUUUAUGUGAUCAGUUAUCGGUCUAUUCCUUUCUUCAUUUGUAUUUCACUUCUACCGACUUGCUUCUAGAAUUCUAUCAUGAGCCAAUCAAGUUGAGAAUAUUUAUAGAUUAAAGAAAGUUUUUUCUUUCAAGAUUUAUUUGUUUGAGUUUUGUUGUGUGGCCUCAUAAGAUAUCCAAAAGAAUUACCAGGCAUGCAUUACCACAUAUAUUAUGUGAUAGACAAUUUCCUUAAAAUUGGUGCAUGGCUUGUGUUUGUGCAUAAAAUGCAAGUUUUUGAGAUGAAAAUAAAAUAACAAAUAAAUUUGCAAGAAUAUAGUUUUGCAAGGUUCUCAUUUCAGAUUUCCACUUAAGAGGAAACAUAAAAAAUAGAAGAAAAAAAGUCCUGAUAUACAAAAGUUGUCUCAACUAGUCAAUCCUAUUGUGUUAUGUUAUCAUUCAUAUGACUUUUUUGCAGUAUGAAUUAGUUACAAUUUGUUCAAUCGAGAAGUUGUUUGUAAGAAGACAUCUUCCUUGCAGGGAAUUGUGAGGCCACCCAUUGGAUGACAGUAACCGAACUCCUCUUCAGCUUGGCUCAACAAUUCUUGAAAUGAAGGUUGGUUCAAGAAUGAAACUGGAAUCAAGAACCUCUUCAUUUCCUCUCCAACAUAUACCGCAAGGUAGCCUUUUGGGACUUCUGUUUCCUUGAUAGAUGCUUGACUUGCACUAAAUGAUGAUCGUCUAAUACCAGGUAAGCGAAAACCCAUUCUUGUUUUAUUUUUUUUCGACAAAAUGAUGUGAAAGAAGUAGUAGAAGAAAGAAUUGAACUUGAAUUCUUAUGCUUCAAGGUAAGAAUGAUAUGUG